rnacentral:rRNA from 1 species
AUUGAACGCUGGCGGCAAGCCUAACACAUGCAAGUAGAACGAGUGGCGGACGGGUGAGUAAUGUCUGGGAAACUGCCUGAUGGAGGGGGAUAACUACUGGAAACGGUAGCUAAUACCGCAUACCAUCGGAUGUGCCCAGAUGGGAUUCGAUAGUAGGUGGGGUAAAGGCUCACCUAGGCGACGAGCCCUAGCUGGUCUGAGAGGAUGCCCACCAACACUGGAACUGAUACACUGUCCAGACUCCUACGGGAGUCAGCAGUGGGGAAUAUUGCACAAUGGGCGCAAGCCUUAUGCAGCCCUGCCGCGUGUAUGAAGAAGGCCUUCGGGUUGUAAAGUACUUUCAGCGGGGAGGCGUUACCCGCAGAAGAAGCACCGGCUAACUCCGUGCCAGCAGCCGCGGUAAUUC